GACGAACGCUGGCGGCGUGCUUAACACAUGCAAGUCGAACGGAAAGGCCCUGCUUUUGUGGGGUGCUCGAGUGGCGAACGGGUGAGUAACACGUGAGUAACCUGCCCUUGACUUUGGGAUAACUUCAGGAAACUGGGGCUAAUACCGGAUAGGAGCUCCUGCUGCAUGGUGGGGGUUGGAAAGUUUCGGCGGUUGGGGAUGGACUCGCGGGUUAUCAGCUUGUUGGUGGGGUAGUGGCUUACCAAGGCUUUGACGGGUAGCCGGCCUGAGCGGGUGACCGGCCACAUUGGGACUGGGAUACGGCCCAGACUCCUACGGGAGGCAGCAGUGGGGAAUAUUGCACAAUGGGCGGAAGCCUGAUGCAGCAACGCCGCGUGCGGGAUGACGGCCUUCGGGUUGUAAACCGCUUUCGCCUGUGACGAAGCGUGAGUGACGGUAAUGGGUAAAGAAGCACCGGCUAACUACGUG
rnacentral:rRNA from 1 species